AUGAGGACAGUUAGCUCAGAGGGUCUCGCAUGGAGCUCUGCCGAUGGCAAACCGGCCGGAGGCAGUGAUCCAGGACUGGGCAGUGCCCGUGCUGUUGACCGGCCGUUUGCAAAGCUUCAGCUCCUCUCUGCACUCACACCAAGGCCGCUGCCUGCAGCAAAACGCCCCGCGCAAAGCUCCCUGCGCGCUCCCCCCUUAGUCCCCUCUUCCUCUCUCGGCUCCCGGGACGGCUGCGCUGCGGGAAAUCACUGCACGUUUUCGGUAUGUACUGGGGGGAGCGCAAAACCACAACAGAGAGGGCUGGGGGAGGGGGAUGCACUUCCAGCCUUCAGGAAAAGUUGGAAACUUUGGGGGAUGGAGUUUUCCCCGGGGCAGGACGCGCCCUCUCCCAGCCCGGCUGCCCUGUCCCGACGACGGGGGUCCCGCUGCCUCCCGCUCCCGUCCCAUCCCGUCCCCGCGGCACUCACCCAUGGCGCGGCGGGCGCGGAGCGGGGCGGAGCGGAGCGGUCGGGGUCCGGCGGCCGGAGCGGGGCCGUGCAGCGCCACGUCGCUGCCGCGCAGCCUCCCGGCCGCGCAGCCUGGGGCUUGCAGUCGCCCUGCCCGCCCCCCGGCGCGGUGUGCGCGGCCCCGGAGAGCCGGAGCGCGCUAUUGAGUGUUCUGGGCCUGUUGAAUGAGUAGUUUUGUCCCUAAGCUCUGCAUGAGAAGAGGUUGGAUCCACCAGGACUGGCUCAAGCUUCGUGUCUGCCAGCUUGUUUCUAGCCUUGCUCCCUCCUGCGAUGCUUUCCUCCUCCUGUCAAGGCCAGGUGUCUCAGCAGUGUCAUUGCCCCAUCUGACCCUUAUCUCGCUCUUGGCUGCUGGACUGGCCGGUGUGAGAGCACGUUCCUGCUUCUCAGAGAACAACACAUCCCCAGGACUGAGCCACAGGAACAUGCUUCCUGAAGAGCUUGGUGUUUGGAACUGCAGCCUGUGUUGGUAACACAACCCGACUGUGAUUACUGAAAGUGCUUUUCUCUGUCUCUGGGCUGGAACAGCUAAAAGAGAAUUAAAAUCACAAUUUAAAAUAUAAAUGCAAAAGGAGAAAGAAGUCCAUCCUGGAAAAAGGAAUAGACCGGCUCAGCAGGGCCAGGCACCUGCAUUCAUUGAAUGCUUAUUUACAGACCAGUGAGCUGUCUCUUUAGAAUAAUAGGCUGUGAGUGUUUCCUUCUAUGUUAUCCCAAUCCUGGAGGGUGGUCUCUGGCUGCUCAGCACUGGUGGUUGCCCUGGGGGUCCUGCACAUUUUAGGGAUGCCUCCAGCAUGGCAGCCUGCACAACCCAGGGUGCUCCCCUGCAUCCCUGCACCCUUCUAUUUGGCAUCCGUCCUGAUCUGUAGCAUCCUCUUGCUGGGCAAAAUCCAUAAUUCUGAGCUGUGAAUUCACAUGCAGGAGGGUUUAUCCCUGUACCCACUCUCUGCAGAUUGAGAACACAACCUUAGAGCCAACAAGUGCCUUAGCUGGGUGCAAGGAGCCACCUGAGCCCUGAUGCAGCCCAAAUUCAACCCUUUUCCGGUGUGUCCAGCUCUGAGGAUGGCAGCCUCCAUCCCUAAAUAAGGUGUGGGGUGAGGGGGGAGCUGCAGCCUGCUUGAUGCUGAGGGAUCAGGAGGACAGAAUGGAAGAACCCAUGGGAUCUGCCUUGGUUUCCAUUAGCUUGGUUUGCUGCACUGCAGUUUUUUACUCAUGCUGUUUGUAAAAGGAGAGUUUCUGAAUGCUCAUCAGCAGGAGAACAAAGCUACAUAGUGAAACAGUUCAGCAGAGUCUGUGGCUAAAGUGCAGUUCUCUGGAGUGAUCAAUAUUCCAAUAAAAAUACUGGGGGAUACCAUAAAUAUUGUAAGUGGCCUUAGAUGGUUUCCAAGGGCUAUGUCACUUGUUUGUUGCAUUCAAAGAGAAGAGAAUGAGUAAAAUCACAGUGAAGAUCAAAUUUAAAUAAAUAAAAUAAUAGGAAAAAUAAAGCAAAAAUAUUUUCUUUCCUAUUUUGAAAGCUCUGGGGGUGUUUUGGGCCAGCAUGAAAGAAGACUAUCUUAUUUACCAGAAUAACGAAGUGAAGGCAUCUGUGUGCACUUGCCCAUAGGCUAUAUAUGUAUGUCUGGGGGGUGUUCUACCCUGAUGCUUAGGCAAAAUCUGCUCACAACAUGAGGAAAACUUUGUUUAUCUGAUUGUUUGUGGCAUUUACAAAUUCCAGACACAAUGCCCAGGAAUCUCUUGCCUUGGCCAAGCUACAGUUGUUUUCCCUGCCACUGGUGGGCAGAACUGUGGGAUGGAUUACCUGUAUCAUUGAAAAAUUGGGAAGGUUGUUUAAAAGUUGUAACUAAAGCAAGAUAAAUAUUUGCCAGGCGUGAUCCCACCAUGCAAUGACAAGUAAGCUGUAUGGAAUGUCUUAAUAAAAUAGAAAUGUUCUGAAAAGGAAACAAAUGUUGUGGAUGAGAAAACAGGGACAAAAAGGACUUGCGGCACCUCCAAAGCCAACAAUUCAAAACAUAUUUACAUAGACUGAGCUAAAGUCUCUUGUAUAUUCUGAGGAUGAUAAAUUGCAGUGCAUGCAGAUUGCCCAGUAGAGUAGUGGGGUUUCAGGGAGCCAUAAAAUGUCCAAAUCGUGGUCCCAAUAUGAUGAGAUAAUGUCCAUCUUUUACUAACAUGGAGAUGUGGGGCUUGGAUGCUUAAGGAAGGGGAGUCACCUGACUCGCUGCAAGUGGCCUGUGCCAUUACCUGGGGAAGAAGCUUUGGUGCUGCCCAGUGCAGGAACCCAAGGUGCUGCGGGCUUGUGAUCUCCUGUAGCCUAUGGGAAACCUUCUCCCCAGCCAUGAACUGGGCAGUUCUAGUGGAUCUGCACAGCCUCCAGUAAAGGCUUGUGGCACAUGAAGCACCAGGAGCUAGUGGUGGAGCCCUGGUGGUGAUGUUCUGGUGGUGGAUAUGACCUGCUGAUGAUGCCCCAGUGGUGGUUUCCAUGGUGAUGCCAUGAUGGUCAUGUCCUGGUGGUGAUGGGGGUGACACCCUAGCAGGUGGCUCUGAGGUGGUGCUGUGAGCACCUCAGGGAGACCACAACACCCCAGCUGCCACCUUGGGAAGAUGCA
rnacentral:lncRNA from 1 species